rnacentral:lncRNA from 1 species
CUGAUAAGGCGUUGUUUCCAGGGACUUUUUCCCCCCUCUUGAAAAGACAUUUUCAUUGUGGCUGGAAAGAAAUCAGAAACGUUGCUCCUGGCUUAUUAUCUGGUGGCUCCUAAACACCUUGUCCAGGUCAUGACUGUGAGCAUCUCAAGGGCAGGAAGGAAGCUUUAGUGUGAAUGAAUGUAGGGCCCUGGCCUGCUGUGUGGCAAGAAAAAGCUAAGCCCAGUAUCUCAGGAGUGGAAUUGGGCCUGUUGGAGAAAUCAGUGAGGCCAGUGAUGGAUCUCCUGUUCUAGAGUUUUUCACCUUUUCAGGCUGCCUGCCCCACUCCGGGCCCACCUACCAGCCGAGAACACAGGCAAGUCCACAUGUCCAGUCCCCACUCACCUGAGGUUCAAGCUGGGGCCUCUGACCCAUCUGGCCA